GUUUUGAACGCAAGUUGCGCCCGAGGCCUUCCGGCCGAGGGCACGUCUGCCUGGGGGUCACGCCAAAAGACACUCCCAACCCACCCGAGGGGGAGGGACGUGGUGUUUGGUCCCCCGUGCCGCAGGGCGCGGUGGGCCGAAGUUGGGGCUGCCGGCGAAUCGUGUCGGGCACAGCACGUGGUGGGCGACACUCAGUUGUUCUCGGUGCAGCGCCCCGGCACGCGGCCGGCGCAUCGGCCCUAAGGACCCAAGGAGCACCGCAGCGCGUAGCCGCUCGGACCGCGACCCCAGGUCAGUCGGGACUACCCGCUGAGUUAAGGU
rnacentral:misc_RNA from 1 species